ACAGGCCAGGUUGGCUGCCCCCAACAGCCUGAGCUGCCCGACUCCCACCGCCUCUCUCCCUUCCUGCUGCCUGCAUGGAUGAGUAGUGUGCUCACUGCCUUGGGCUCUGAUUCAGCCUGUGUCCCCUGAGAGGGGUCUCCCUCGGAGCUUGGGUUCACGGUGGUACUCCCAGGCCCUGAGGCUGCAAGGAUACCUCGGGCUGACCUGUCCCUUCCUGGGCCAGAUCUCUUCGCUGGGGGCCGGGGCCCUCACUGGUCUUGUUUAGCCAUGCAGCACAGAGCCAUGGGGACACAGGGGCUGCUAGGAGAGAGGCUGUCCCUGGGAAGCCAUGCAGGGAUGGGGAUGGUUGGUGUCACCUGGCUGCUCCUGGACUUUGGUGCUGGGCCCCGUGUGGCUGCUUAACCAGCUGCUGACCCAUCCCGUGCCCUGGCAGAGGGUGCAGCCUCCUCCAGCCUGUUUCCCAGCUGGCUCCAAGCUCUGGCACUGGUGUGGGUGGGCGCCCUUAGUGUGCGAGACCUUGCCAAGCACGUUGGAGAGUGGCGUGCAGCAGAAGGGAAGGGGUGGCUUUGGUCCCUGCUGGCCCUGGUGGGUGCUCAAGUGUUGUGGGAGUUGCAGACUAGGUCGAGGCCUCUGUGGGGGAGGCUGGGUUGCAGAAGGAUGGGCCGCACUGUCACUGUCCCUGGGGGCCUUCCCACUCUGCACCACAGGGCUGAUCCUGCCCAGCUUCACACCAGCUCCAGAACUCCAGUCCUCCUGCCACCUGUGCAGGCUGCGCACCCAGCCCAGGGCUUUCUAGAAAGGGCCUCCCAGCCCAAGGGCAUAGCUCCCAGGCAGGUGCAAAACAGCCCCACAGCCCGAAACCUGGCCGUUGGCUCGGUGGGCUGGUGCACACCUCCCACAGGUAAACAACGGUGUGCUUUGUGCAACGGACCGGAGCUUGAGAUCACUCAGCGCACCCGGAGUUUCUAGUGGCAUCCCAGGGCGGCUGCCCUAGGACAGGCUGAGGAGGAGACCAGCGUCCCUGGAGGAUACAGCCCCUCCUCUGCCCAAGUUGAGGU